CAUAGGAGGAAUUAAUUUAUGUGGUAUAAUUAUAAUGUACAUACACACACUCCACUUAAACGUUCACUGUGAAAAAAUAGUAUAAAACUAUUCAUUAGGGGAUUGUAAGGUCUUGUACCCAAUUUUUAUGGCACAGGCAAGUUUGGCCUGGAAACUGCUACAGAGGACUAGAAAAAUUUAAUUCCACACACAAUGGUUAAAAACGUAUGAAACUGUACUACAACAACAAAUAUUUUUACAGCAGCCAUGUAUUUUAAUAAGGGCAAGACACGAGACAUUUUGGUGCAUUUUAAUAACUAUCCAAAAUUUGGUACUUUUGUUAUGUGUGUUCUAAAAGACUUUAGAAGUCUUUAGCAGUAGUUGGUCAGGAAAUUCCACUGAUCAUGCCCAGUCUUAUUGCAUCACUAGAUGAUGAUGCAGUAUUGAGUGAAAAAAAUGUUUAAAUACACAAAAGGAAAAUGAUAGAAUAAUUAUUGCAAUUAAUUGUCCAGCAAAUAAAUGCUCGAAGGAACCAAAUAAGAGGAAAAAAAAGAAAAUGUUUCAUAUAAAAUAAAGGGUAAGAUUUUCAGAAGUGCCAAAGUGAUGUCUGAGCCAAAUUCUCAUUAAUUUAAACAAAAAAUCCCAAAACACAACAAAAACCAAACCAGUGAUGUGAAAGAGAUAGUGCUGAGAUACUUUAUUUAGAUUAAAAUUUAGAUUACAUUACAGAAAUAGGAAGAGGAGGUUACUCACCCUGUGCAGUAACAGAUGUACUUCAAAAUGAGUGUCCCUGUGGGUGCUCCACUUCAGGUGUUGGUACGUCCCUGCGCCUUCGCUCGGAGAUUUUUGCAGCAGUACUCGUACUGGCCACACAUGCACAGAACCUGCCUCCCAACUCUGAGUAUAUCGUAAUAGUACGCAUGUGUGGCUGGUCUCCUCAUUUCCUUCUCUGCAACGGAGGCUACCCCAACUCCAAAGUAGAGGGGAGGAGGGUGGAUAGUGGAGCACCCACAGGGACAUUCAUCUCAAAGAAUGUCAGUUACAGCACACGGUGAGUAACUUCCUCUUCUUCUUCGAGAGAUGUCCCUGUGGGUGGUUCCACUGCAGGUGACUUAAAAGCAGUGUAUCUCAAGGAGGUAGGGUAGCUACACAUCUAGUGGAAGGAGUUCUGAUGGAGUCUGGAGGUGUAACUUGUUUUAUCUGAUAGCACAGUUAGAUGCAGUCAGAGAUCCAGUUUGAAAGUCUCUGGGUAGAAAUAGGUAUCCCUUUGGAACGCUCUGUGAUGGAGACAACAAGUCUAGAAGAGCUUCUAAGAGGUUUGGUUCUAUCCAAAUAGAAGGACAAGGCUCUGCGUACAUCUAACGUAUGUAUUGUGGCUUCAAAAGAGUUUGCAUGUGGUUUUGGAAAGAAAGUCGGUAGGUGUACUGGCUCAUUAAUGUGGAAUGAGUGAACCUUUGGAAGAAAUUUGGGGUGUAAUCUAAAGGUAACCUUGUCCUUGAAAAAUAGUGUAUAUGGUGGAUCUGCCAUAAGGGCUGCUAUUUCUCCUGCCCUUCUGGUGGAGGUAAUUGCCACUAAAAAUCCUGUUUUCAUAAAGAGGUGUAAAAGGGAGCAGGUGGCUAGUGGCUCAAAUGGUUGUUGAGUUAGGCAGGAUAAUACUAAAUGAAGGUCCCACAGAGGGGUAGGCGGUUUAAUGUUUGGGUAUAGGGUUUGGAGUCCCUUGAGGAAACGCUUGGUGAUCGGAUGAGCAAAGACAGAGGUAUUGUCGAUUCUGUCAUGAAAGGUUGUAAUAACAGCUAAGUGGACUCUGAUGGAGCUGAAAGAAAGGCCAGAUUGCUUAAUGUCCAAUAGAUAGUCAAGUAUGAGCAGGAGGGGUACUGACAUGGGAGAAAGUUGUUUAGCUGAACACCAUUGUGUGAAUCACUUCCACUUUCGGAGAUAGGUGGUGCGAGUAUAUUGUGUUCUGCUGUGUAGGAGCACUCUUUGAACUUGGUCAGAGCAAGCUAGCUCGUUUUCGGAGAACCAUGUGGGUACCAGGCUUUGUGGUGAAGCAUGGACAGAUUAGGGUGAAGAAAUCGGCCGUGUUGUUGUAAUUAAGAGGUUCAGAAUGAGGGGCAACGAGAUUGGUGGUCAAAUUGACAUUCUGGUGAGGAACGGAAACCACGGUUGUCUGAGCCACGACGGGCAAUCAAGAUCACCGUGGCACAAUCUGUUCAUAUCUUUGUGAGAACUCUGUGGAGAAUCGGUAUGGGGGGAAAAGUGUAGAGUAAGUUCCGUUGCCAUGCGACCAUAAAUGCAUCUCCCAGGUAAUGUUUGCCGAGUCCUGCUCUGGAGCAAACUUUGGGACAUUUGGUGUUUUUCACAGUUGCAAAAAGGUUUAUGACCCCAAAUGCGAAAUGUGUUACGGAUGAUUGACUUGUUUAUCUCCCACUCAUGAUCCCAGGGAAAGCGUCUGCUUAAUUCGUCCGCUGUGGUAUUCAGAACUCCGGGAAGAUAGGCAACCGAUAUGCGGAUGUUGUUCACAAGGCACCAAUUCCAGAGCUUCAUAGCCGCUGUGCAGAGCGAGUGAGAGUGAGCUCCUCUCUGCCUGUUUACAUAGAACAUGCAGGCAAUGUUGUCUGUUAUGCGUACAUAUUGAUUCCUGAUUAGUGGGAGGAAGUGAUGGCAGGCAUUGCGUAUGGCUCGAAGUUCUAGGACAUUUAUGUGCAGGGAGGUUUCGGUGGAAGACCAUAGCCCCUGGACUGUGUGGUGAGACAUGCGGGCACCCCACCCUGUGAGGGAUGCAUUGGUAGUCAUUAUCGGGGAUGGAGUGUUCUGGAGAAAGGGGACACCAGAGCAGAGGUUGGAAGGAACUCUCCACCAUAGUAUAAAGUCUGACUCGGAAGGGUAUGGAGAGGCUUGUUUAGAGAGUGCACGUUAGGUUUGUAAACCGUGGCCAAGCAAGCUUGUAAGCACCUCAUGUGCAGGCGUGCGUUUUAGACCACGAAAGUGCACACGGCCAUGUGGCCCAGUAGUUGUAGGCAGCCUCGGGCAGUGACCUGGGGUGUGUUGCGAAGUUUUGAGGCCAGAAGUUUUAUGGUGUUGAACUGGUCGGGUGGGAGAGAUGCCAACCCUGUUCGGGAGUCAAGGUGCGCUCCUAUAAACUCCAGGUGCUGGAUAGGGCAUAAUGUGGAUUUGUUUUUGUUUGUUUGUAGGCCAAGAGAUAGGAAACAAUCAACAGUGAGAUGAGUGAAUCGGAGAGGUCUGAUGAAUGUCAAGGCUUUGAGGAGGCAAUCAUCGAGGUAAUUUCUGAAUCCUGGAACCAUGGAGGAGCGAUGCUUUGAUAUGGAGCAGCUGUGGAUUGGGAUUGAAAAUGCGAUCCACACCCUGAGAAAGGAGUUGCUGAGUCAGGCAAAGAGACAUUGGAGGGCAUACUUCCGUAAAGGAGGCCCAGAGAGUGGUACGUGGCUUGAAAACUGCGACAUCCCUUUGGACUUGAGACCUGGUGCUGCCCUUGACAAGCCAAUCAUCGAGGUACAGGUAGAUCUGGAUACCCCGAUGCCUAAGGUAAGCUGCUACCACCAACAUGCACCUGGUGAACACUCUUGGUGCUGUUGCCAGGCUGAAUGGGAGGACCACAAACUGGUAGUGGUGGGGCCCCACCAUAAACCUGGAAGAAGCAUCUGUGUCCUUGAAAGACUGAUAUGUGGUAGUAUGUGUUCUUCAAGUCGAGGGCUGCAUACCAGUCUCCCAGAUUCAGGGAAGGGAUAAUAGAAGCCAAUGAAACCAGGCAGAAUUUUAGCUUCUUUAGGUACUUGUUGAGGUCUCGCAGGUCCAGGAUGGGCCAUAGACCUCUCUCGGCCUUUGGGAUUAAAAAGUGACUGGAACAGAACCCCUUGUUCCUGUAUUUGAGAGGAACUUCUUCCAUUGCAACCUCUUUACCUACUGAGCAAGGAGACUCUCGUGAGACGGGUCCCUGAAGAGGGACAGGAAAGGCAGGUGGGAAGGAAGGGUAUAAAAGAACUAGAGGAUAUAACCCUGCUCCACUGUGAUGAGGACCCAUCAAUCUGAGGUUAUAGCAGUCCAAGUAGGGAUGAAAAGGGAAAGGCGGUUGGAGAACACUGGGACAGAUGGAUUCGGGGAAUAGUCUGGUAGGUUGCCCUCGGGCACACCCUCAAAAUGACCGUUUGGCCCCUUGCUUGAUAGGGGUCGAGCCUGACUAGGCAGAGGGUGAAGGUGGGUGGCUCAGAUGGUGCUUGUAGCCCUUGGCUCAUUUGUGGAGCUGGUUCUGCUGAGGCUGGCUCCCUGGCCCCGAGGCUUGAACCGCUUACACAUUGGGGCUGGGAUGUAAAGACCCAGGGUUUUCAGGGUAGUGUGGGAGUCCUUGAGGCCAUGCAAUUUGCUGUCUGUUUGCUCCACAAAUAGGGCUCAGCUGUUGAAGGGCAAGUCCUGCAUUGACUGCUGAGCCUCAGAGGACAACCCAGAGAGCAGUAGCCAGGAGGCUCGUCUGUUGCGGCCUGGACGGCCACCCUGGCUGUGGUCAUUCCCUCAUCAAGGAUCACUCAGAAUUCCUUCUUGGAAGCCUCAGGAAGCAACCCUUCGACCUCAGCCAUAGCUUGCCACAUAUUAGUCAUAUUGGCCAAGGAGGGCUCGGUGAUUGGCCACUCUCAGCUGAAGGCUAGAAGACUAAUAAAUCUUACAUCCAAAAAGAUCCAGCCUGCUUGAAUCUUCAUUUUUUGGGGUGGCCUGGGUUGUCCUCAACUCUCUUUGUGGUUAACCACCUCUACCAUAAGGAAAUUGGGGACAAAUGGUGAGUAUAAGUACUCAUGCCUCUUGGUUGGCACAAAGUAUUUGUGUUCAGCCCUCUUAGAGAUAGAGACCAGGGAAGAGGGGGUCUGCUAUAGGGCAUUAGUGAUUUUGGAAACACUUUCAUGAGAGGGUAGGGCUAUUCUGGCAGGAGCUGAGGAGCAGAGGACGUCAAACAAAAUCUGAGGGCUCUUCCAGUUCCUCUGCCUGAAGCCCCAGGUUGGAGGUGACCCUCUUCAAAAGUUCUGGUGCGCUUUGGCAUCAUCCUGAGGAACUGGGUAAGGGGGCCCCAUGAUAGCUUGGUCUGGCAAUGACGAGGACAAUGCCAGUGCUGUGGCAACCUCCACUUCCAUUGGUAGAACAGCAGCUUGCUCCUCUAGGUCUUCCUGGACCUGUGGGGUCUUACCCACCAAAGCUACGAGCACCGGAGGGGGACGGGAUACCAAAGCCGCUGGCCUCUCUGAGGAUCCCAACACCAACCGGACAGCCUGAGGAGGCUAGGUGAACCCCCAAGGAUUCCACGGGUACCAUGACGCCAUCCACUGCACUUGGGGCCAUGGGACAGGUUUCAGUGAUGAUGAUGUAGACAGCACCGCAGGUACCAGGGCUCGCCCAGCAGUCAGGGAACCUCGCUCCAUGCCAGAGGUAUAAAUGGAGUGGUCAGUACUGGGUGACCAAGAUCUGGUGGAAAGGUGGCUCUUAUCUGACCGAUGCCAGUCACUGCAUCCCGAAGCCAUCCUGUCCAAGCGAGACAGACGUCUUGGUCAGGAUCUUGGGGACCGACGGCAUUCAGCAGAUCUGCAUCUGACACCUGGCGAUCCACGACUCGCACUACUCGAACGGUAUUGGGAUGCUGAACGGGACCAGGAGUAAAUACAGGUCAGUUGCCAGGAGGAUCUUCCUGAGGAAGGUGAACUACUGCUUGGAGAUGGGCGAUGACUGUCUGUCGAUCUGUGAUCUCUGAUCCUCGAUCGGUACUGGGCCCUUGGAGAUGGUUGAGACCGGUCCAGGAGUUCUUGCCAUGUGGUGCACGCCUCAGAAGGUCUGCACCAAUCUACCCGCAAGGUACGUCUCGAGUCCCUCGAUCGAUGGCCCGUAUGGAAUGGUGCAGCUGCGGCGGGAACACACACGUAGGUCCCAAUGUGGGUAUUCCCCAAGACCGGGGUAAUGCUGGAGCCAAUGUGGGCAGCACCAGCGGCAUCAGGAUCUCCUGAGCUGCUUGUGGGGCUUUGAGCAUCGAUAGCACCAGAAGCUGGCUGGGGCCUGCACCGCUAUCCGGAGCUGCAGGCAAAGUAUGGGAUGGGCUGCACCACUCUACUUGAGUUGGAGCCAGACUUCCUGAAGGGGGUGUUGAGCUGCCCAAUAUAGGUCAUGGCUUGCCCCCAGCCCUCUUCUUUCCCUUAUGGGAGGUAAGAGUUCUUCCCUGCACAGUCUUUUUGUUUUUUUGAUCAGAGCUGUAGAGGACGACCGGUGCUGGCUCGUGGAUGGCACUGGCGGAGCACUGUGCACAGAGGCUGUGGUGCUCGGCGAGAAGUUGGACCGUUGCCGAAGUGAACGUCAACUCCAUUAGGAGCGCUUUCAGAUGGAUAUCGCUCUCCUUCUUUGUUCUAGGUUUAAAGGACUUGCAAAUACUGCACUUGUCACUUAUGUGCCCUUCGCCUAAGCACCUUAGGCAGCCGGUAUGUGGAUCUCUGAUGGGCAAUCACUGGGCCCGUUUGCAGCAAUC